UCUUUACGUAUCCAUGCGAUCAAAUUAAUGCGCUCAUAAAAGAUAUCAUCCUUUACAUACCUUCCAGUUCGAUAAAUAUAACCAUGUUCGUUUUACGCUAGGAUAAACACAGAUGUAUCUUUCAGUUUUAUUUUAAAAGAUUGACAAUUUAUAGAUCACGAAGUAGCAUGUCCAACGUACGUGUUCUUUCGCAUUAGAGUUGUAUUUCCUACAUUAAAAUAGUGAACGAGGCCACACUAUUAUGAUAUUAUUUCAUUUUCUGGGGCAUUUCGCAAACAACGUCAUUUGUUAUUUUAAGACUACGUAAAAUCAAUAUAUGAAUAUAAUUUUCAAAAAGAAAAACUAGAACUCGUUAAAUAAGUAUGGAUAGAGACCA
rnacentral:lncRNA from 1 species